rnacentral:sRNA from 1 species
CACCUCCACUUCCAGUGUAAUAUCAAUGGUGUUAGUUAAACCAUCUUGCCCCAGAUGAAAAUAACAUGAAGAAAACGUACCCACUCCUGAGAGGCCAAGAAUAUGUACAUAUGCAGACCAAAGAAAUUGUUGAGAGGUUUCAUAAUUUGGUGGCAAAAAUCCAACCUUGGGAGUUCCCAAUUCAAAGGUACACCUUUUGGAAGAUGGGUUUUCUAUGUCAUACUUAUUCUUUCUCGUGGGCAUUUUCCC